UACGAAGGGGGCUAGCGUUGCUCGGAAUUACUGGGCGUAAAGCGCACGUAGGCGGUUUGUUAAGUCAGGGGUGAAAUCCUGGAGCUCAACUCCAGAACUGCCUUUGAUACUGGCGAUCUCGAGUCCGGGAGAGGUGAGUGGAACUGCGGGUGUAGAGGUGAAAUUCGUAGAUAUUCGCAAGAACACCAGUGGCGAAGGCGGCUCACUGGCCCGGUACUGACGCUGAGGUGCGAAAGCGUGGGGAGCAAACAGG
rnacentral:rRNA from 1 species